rnacentral:rRNA from 1 species
GACGAACGCUGGCGGCGUGCCUAAUACAUGCAAGUCGAACGCUGAAGGAGGAGCUUGCUUCUCUGGAUGAGUUGCGAACGGGUGAGUAACGCGUAGGUAACCUGCCUGGUAGCGGGGGAUAACUAUUGGAAACGAUAGCUAAUACCGCAUAAGAGUAGAUGUUGCAUGACAUUUGCUUAAAAGGUGCAAUUGCAUCACUACCAGAUGGACCUGCGUUGUAUUAGCUAGUUGGUGGGGUAACGGCUCACCAAGGCGACGAUACAUAGCCGACCUGAGAGGGGGAUCGGCCACACUGGGACUGAGACACGGCCCAGACUCCUACGGGAGGCAGCAGUAGGGAAUCUUCGGCAAUGGACGGAAGUCUGACCGAGCAACGCCGCGUGAGUGAAGAAGGGUUUCGGAUCGUAAAGCUCUGUUGUAAGAGAAGAACGAGUGUGAGAGUGGAAAGUUCACACUGUGACGGUAUCUUACCAGAAAGGGACGGCUAACUACGUG